AUUGUCACCAUGAUAUCACUCUUGGAGUCCAAAAAAAAUUAAAAAGGAUUUACCCAAAUAAUUAAACCGAGCUCACUAGUCGAGGAGAUUUUUCACUUGGCAUUAAGCACUUGACAGCAAGAUCUUCCUUAGCAACCAGUAAAUCACAAUCUCUUGGCUUUGUUCACCCCUAUCAUCAUCCAUUUGGGCACUUGCGUUGUUAUCGACAUUGCACAGGUACACACAGAAUGUCUGUGAAGUAAGUCGAAGGUCUCAGUGUUUUGUUGGAAUAAAGCUCUUUUCCCUGGAAUACUUUAAAUAGGGUGUUUGAUAGCAUUUCAGAAUGUGAACUACAGCAGGAAUCAGGAAUCAGUGCUGAUAUUUUUCUCAGAUAAAUCACUGCACUGAUGUCACCAUCACUAUGACAACAUUGUGAAAAGGACUAGUCACUCAAGCUACCUAGUAAAAGGCAGUGCAUCCACUUUCUGAAUCAAAUGUAAUACGUAGGACCUCUGCUUUUGUAAUCAGAUGAGUACCUUCAUGGUUAGGACGUGUUGACUCAUAAUUGGAUGAAGAAACAAUUCUUGUUUGUGUUUCUCUAAAGGCAUGCUCCAGCCUCCGAAACACACAGGUCUUUACUUGCUAUCACCAUCUGCCAGAAAAUAUUCCGAGUUAAACAGAAGCAGCCAAAGAAUAAUCCCACCUGCAGAUGCUGUUCAACUGAGAAAUUAAUCCCAACCAUUGAAAACUGCCAUGGGCACUUGCAAGUAUCCCCUUUGCUCCAUUGUCUACCACUUAGAAAGUAUAGGUUCUCGAGACGAGGCAAUUCUUUGUGCUGUUCCACACUGAAUUUCCUGGAUUUAGUGGACUGGCUGGCCUUUUGAAAUACUGGUGCUGAUAGUUCAUCAUCAUCAUCACCAUCAUCACCACCACCACCAUCAUCAAUAUCAUCAUGGCAAUUAAUAAAUGGAGGAAGUCAUACCA
rnacentral:lncRNA from 1 species